rnacentral:lncRNA from 1 species
CCCACUUACACUACUAGUAAAUGUAAAAAUGAGUCCGGCUACAAUGCUAUUGAUAGUACCAAGCACUUUGUGCUAUCAAGUUUUUUGCCGUUAGAUCAAUUCCUUUGAUCAUUUUCAUCUGUUAAAUAAUAAACCAACCAUCCACUCAACCUUAGGGGACUACUAUCAUCCUAACUGUAUAUCGCCUCAUCCAAUGGCCAAAAACUUAAUAGCACCAAUGAUUUGGUGUUAUUAAUAAUAUUCUAGCCUAGUUCGCGAAAAUUAACUUACACUACCUUUCUUUGGAAACUAUUCAACUCAUGAGGAAAUAAUUAUAUCGUACGAAGUUCACGAAAUGAUUCAAAUGAAGUGUUCAAGAACAUGAACUAAGUCCCCAUAUCAGAAAACUAUUGCGCAGUAUCCAUACAUUAGCCCAAUGUAUACUUUUGUUUAUAGCCAAAUGUUAGAAUGAAAUGUAUCUACAAUAUACGUAAUAUCAACGAUUUAAGUACCAUGGUACAGAAUCGUGCCGAAAACUUAUUGGUACCGGUCAUAAAAAAUUCAUGUGUACCAAUACCUAAUAUCAUGAAAUAUUUAUUUUCUUUAGCAACAAAAUAUUUUAGCUAUUUAUUUUGUAUUUUUACCAAAUUUUUUAAACUUCAUUGAGAAAAUUAUUUACUAAUUUAAAGAAUAGAGUAUUUUAAGUUGUGCCAUUAGCACAGAAUCUGUAUCGUACCGAUAUCUAGUUGACACGAUAUGGUACAGUAGAUAUCAUUCGUGUCGACGGAAACUUAAAUCCUUGCGUAAUAUGUCUCUGAAUG